UAGGGAAUCUUCCGCAAUGGACGAAAGUCUGACGGAGCAACGCCGCGUGAGUGAAGAAGGAUUUCGGUUCGUAAAACUCUGUUGUUAGGGAAGAAAAAAUGUAUAGUAACUAUAUACAAAAGAGACGGUACCUACCCAGAAAGCCACGGCUAACUACGUGCCAGCAGCCGCGGUAAUACGUAGGUGGCAAGCGUUGUCCGGAAUUAUUGGGCGUAAAGCGCGCGCAGGUGGUUUAGAAAGUCUGAUGUGAAAGCCCACGGCUCAACCGUGGAGGGUCAUUGGAAAAUAAUAAACUUGAGUGCAGGAGAGAAAAGUGGAAUUCCUAGUGUAGCGGUGAAAUGCGUAGAGAUUAGGAGGAACACCGGUGGCGAAAGCGGCUUUUUGGCCUGCAACUGACACUGAGGCGCGAAAGCGUGGGGAGCAAACAGG
rnacentral:rRNA from 1 species